UGCUAUCCCUCUGAGAAGCACACAUUACAUAAGGAACUAUGUAUGGGCACACCAGUCAAGUCUAAGCUGAACUCAGCUUUUAAGUCAUCCUAUGUUAGGUACCAUACAUGGGGGUGAAGAAAUGUUGUGCAGGUUUCAGUUCCCGGCUCUUAGCCAUGCUGUCCUGGGAGAAGACUGAGAUGGACUGGUAUUAGUGACUCGGGAACCCUGGACCACAGGCCUUGAAAGUAGAUUUUCUCAGGAAUGAGUAUACAAUGAAUUCUUCUCAAAAUAAGUUGUCCAAGAGUACCACAGCUGUGUUUCCACAUCAGCAGCUCUGCGGUCUGCCCAACAUCAUUUAAGGAAUAAGAGAGAGACUGUGUGUGCAAGUGAGGAGUGGAGCCAGACAAGGGGCUCAAUUCCACAACCCUGUGAUCAGGACCUCAGCUGAAAUCAAGAGCCAGAAGUUCAACCAACUGAGCCACCUAGGCUUUGCAUUUCUGUAAUGACUAAGGAUACUGAGCUUCU